CAAGGAAUAGUAGGCAAUGGGGGAAACCCUGACCUCGCGACGCCGCGUGAGGGAUGAAGGCUUUCGGGUCGUAAACCUCUUUUUUCGGGGAUGAAUAAUGACAGUACCCGGAGAAUAAGUCACGGCUAACUACGUGCCAGCAGCCGCGGUAAAACGUAGGUGGCAAACGUUAUCCGGAUUCACUGGGCGUAAAGCGUGCGUAGGCGGUUCGUUAAGUCGGAUGUAAAAUCUCCUGGCUCAACUGGGAGGGACCAUCCGAUACUGGCGAGCUGGAGUGCAUCAGAGGAGAGUGGAAUUCCCGGUGUAGUGGUGGAAUGCGUAGAUAUCGGGAGGAACACCAGUGGCGAAAGCGGCUCUCUGGGAUGUUACUGACGCUGUUGCACGAAAGCGUGGGGAGCAAACAG
rnacentral:rRNA from 1 species